CUACGGGAUGCUGCAGUGAGGAAUAUUGCACAAUGGGGGGAACCCUGAUGCAGCAACGCCGCGUGGAGGAUGACGCAUUUCGGUGUGUAAACUCCUUUUAUAUGUCAAGAAAAUGACGGUAGCAUAUGAAUAAGCACCGGCUAACUCCGUGCCAGCAGCCGCGGUAAUACGGAGGGUGCAAGCGUUACUCGGAAUCACUGGGCGUAAAGGACGCGUAGGCGGGUUGGAAAGUCAGGUGUGAAAUCCUACAGCUUAACUGUAGAACUGCACUUGAAACUACGAGCCUAGAGUAUGGGAGGGGGAGAUGGAAUUAGUGGUGUAGGGGUAAAAUCCGUAGAUAUCACUAGGAAUACCUAAAGCGAAGGCGAUCUCCUGGAACAUAACUGACGCUAAGGCGUGAAAGCGUGGGGAGCAAACAGGAUUAGAUACCCUCGUAGUC
rnacentral:rRNA from 1 species